AACCAAGAGGUAUCAGAACCAAGAAAAGUGUUAAAUGAAUUGCUCCACGGGUCCAGACGUUAAGAGGUACAUGGAGAUAGUUGAAAUGUAAAGAAGAAACAAAAAGGGAAUCAGGAGGCUUAAUCGCCAGCAACACUACUCUUGUACUUUGGGACUCGGCUAAGUGACUCACAGGUGAAAAGCUGUUACAGCGUGGAUCUGCUGGACAAAGGGAAGAUUCAUGUCCUGAGAGGGACGGAACCUGACGGCCCAAGAUUUCAUCACACUACUCAGAACUGCAGUUGCUGCUGUAAAUGGAUUCCAAAACCACUUUUAAUUGACCCACCCUACAUUGCCUCAGUUCAUCUCUCAUUCUGCACCAGCUGCCUGUUGUCCCAAAGUUUCAAUGCUAAUUCCACUACAGCAUGCUCCUGGAAACUUAUGAUAAGGAAUCUGGAACCAUCUGGUUUUAGUUGACUUUUUAAAAAUACGUUUUAGUGUCACAGUUGUAUUAUUAAACAUAAUUAUGCCUGGU
rnacentral:lncRNA from 1 species